UACGUAGGGUGCAAGCGUUGUCCGGAAUUAUUGGGCGUAAAGAGCUCGUAGGCGGCUUGUCACGUCGGGUGUGAAAGCCCGGGGCUUAACCCCCGGGUCUGCAUUCGAUACGGGCUGGCUGGAGUGUGGUAGGGGAGAUCGGAAUUCCUGGUGUAGCGGUGAAAUGCGCAGAUAUCAGGAGGAACACCGGUGGCGAAGGCGGAUCUCUGGGCCAUUACUGACGCUGAGGAGCGAAAGCGUGGGGAGCGAACAGG
rnacentral:rRNA from 1 species